GAAAGUAAGAAUCCUUUUACAUUGCAUAAAGUAUGAAGUAUGUAAUUUAUGUGUUUCCAACACUUUUCUCUCUCUACAACCGUGUACUUAUGCAUAUGUCUUCUUUUGAUAUACAUAUAUAAAUAUAUCACCCACGAUCUAGUCUAACAAAGUGGGUGUGUAGUUGGGGAAACGUGUAGAAGUAGGAUAGGGGCAUGGAUAAGAAUUGGGAAACGGACUUCUGAAUUAAAAUAAUUGACCAAGCCUUGUCAACCAACUAUACCAUUCAACAACCAAUACAUUUCAUACACUUGUCGCCUCUUCCAACAAAUUGAAAGGAAAAUCAAUAAUGUUGCUCUCUCUAUCAUGUGGUUUCCUUAUCCCCUCUCCUUUUUUUUUUUUUUAAUAAAACAUCAUUCAUUACCCUAUUGAGAAUCUAGUUCUAUACAUGUCAACCAUAUAUAAAUUUUAAAUUCAUUAAAUAAUCAUUUAAAAUAUAGUUUAAAGCUAUAUCUUUUAAUCUCGA
rnacentral:lncRNA from 1 species